GGCCCGCAGCGCUCCAGCCCGGACCCCCGCGGCCUCGCCCACCCCGAGCGCUUAGGUGUGCUGGGCCCCCCUGCGCACGGGGAAACUGAGGCUCGCGGGGGCAUCAGGGCUGCACCGAGGCCGCCCCCCGAAGGCGGCUGGAGCCCUGGGCUGCGGGGGGUGCAGAGGGUGCAUGCACGCGUCCAGGGGCUGCACCAGGUGCCUCGGGGGCCUGGCCGUGGCUCUCCAGGCAGCAGGGAGCUUUGCAGGGUUUCAGGCAGGAAGUAAUAUCUGAUUUGUGUUCUUUAAAAAAAAAAAAAAGACAACCUUGCGGUAGGAAGUGAAAGCAGAAGCAGAGCAACUUUCAUUUUUUCUGGUGUCCCUUUGAUCGUCACCGCAAGGCAGGGGGCAGGUCGGGCUCACAGGCCUUUUGAGAGGUGAACUCCCUGAAGCUCAGAAAAGGUAGCCCAAGCAUUCCGCGCUCAGAAGCUGUAAUCUGACUCUACUUAGGACAGAAGCAGGACAUCGAAGUUGGUGAGGAAGUGAGUCUCUGAAUGUGACUGAGCCCCAGGGCCUUUGUAUGCACCACAACAACGGCUGCACCUGGAGCUCCCUUCCCCCUGCUUGGAACUUGUCACUCCCUCACUUGUUCAGGCUUACAGGCCACCACCUCCGAUGCCUGGUGACCGCUCAAUGCUGUGUGACUCCUGAGUCGAAGCUGCAGGAGAUGGUGAGGCUUUCUCAUCACCUUCUAAGCACGCCUGGAAGAGGAGGCCGCGUGGAAGAGCACGGAACCACCCUGGCUGGCAAAGCUGCCACCUGCCACCUGCCAGACACGUGGGUGAGGCUGUGCCUGACCACCCAGCCCUAGUCAAGUGUUCAGCCAGCCAUGGCCGCCAGAGACCCAGAGAGACCAGCACAACCGUGGAGCUGCACCAGCCCAAACUGGCCAACCAGAGAAUCAUGAGCAAAUGAAAUACUUGUGGUUAUAAGCCUCUGGAUUUUGGCAUAGUUACACAGCCAUAGGUAACUGGUACGUCGGACUUCCUCAUCCUCGCCAGGGCGCAUUCAAAACUGCGGCUCUUGAGGGCAGCUUUGAUUAUUCUUCUGCUUAAUAAAAGCAGAGAAUCCGGAAAGGACGAGAGAAAGAAAUGGUGCAAACACACAAAGAGGAGAAAAGGUAGACAUAGGAAAUGAGCAGCAGGUUGUCCAACAGAGGCCCCCCCCUUGCCCCCUGAGCAUACUUGGUGGUGCCUAGGAGCUCAGGUUCAGGCUCCAUGACAAUGGAGCAGGCCCAGGCUCAAGUACAACUGUUUGCCGGGGUCCGAGGCCAAGCAAGUUGCAUUACGUCAUGGCUCAUCGCUAAUAGAAUUUAUAGAGAACCAACAUCAGGUUGUUGUGGGGAGAAAAUGAACCAUUCUUGUGAAAACACUCAGCAGAGUGCUUGGCACAAUGUACCCUCAACAAGGGUUAUUGAUUAGCGAUGGCAUUACUGUGCGGGUUAUUGUUAAUCUUGAUCAUGGAGGGGGUAUUCAAAGGACCAUCCGGAGCGUGGUGGUAACAAAAGCUGAUUUUAUUCAGCUGUGUGGGUCAGAUGCUGUAUCCACGGUCUCCAGACCUCACAGCAAUCCUGCAGCACGGACAUGUUAACAUCGUCCUCGUUUCAUUGUUGAGAAAACCGUGACAAAGAAGGAAGCCAUGAGACAGGUAGUAGGGCUGGAACUCAAAGCCAGUCUGUCCCGCUGCAAAGCAUGCACUCCUCCCUCUGCCUGUGCGGCCUCUGCUACACUCCCACAAAACACAAAACACACAAGAGCAUGUGGCUUCUCCCCUUCCUGCACUGCGCCAGACCGGCUGAGCACUGACCUUAUGGGGGAGGCAUUCAGGAAGGGCUUCCUGUAUAUUGGCCAAGCAGCUGCACAGACCCUGGGAGCACUUCCCCCCUGAAAAGCAUCCUUCCACCUCCCUGGGCUGAUGAGGGCUUGUCCCAAGGAGGGACUUGCUCAUAGUGGAAACAGAAAUACACUCUAAGGCUGGGGGUGGAGGCACCGUAAGGAGGAAGCACAGUACGAAGCUGAUGUCACCGAGGAGAUACCGAAACCCAAAUUAUUGCCCGCAUCGUGGCACUGACCAACCUGCAGACCCACACGGAGAAAUUGGAAUGAGAAAAAGAAGGAUCUAGGAGACUGGUGACUGGGGUACUUGUAGAUCCAGUAACAUGUGCCUCUGGGAGAUGUGGGCGUGCCACAUGGCCCCCCAGGCAUGCUGGCCCUGAAUCCAGACACUGGUCAGGGAAGAGGGACACGCUGCCGCAGAAGAGAGAAAGGAGUCUGACCCGGAGAAAACCCCAGCUCCCUCAGUGGCCUAGGUAGGGCCACUCUACCUCUCUGAGUCUCAACUUCCUCAUCUGUAAAAUGGGGAGAGGAAGAGGGGGAGGCUGCAAGAACAGAAGGGAAGGGAAAGACCCUCAAAGGGGAAGCAGGGCAAAGGAGGGACAGUUUGAGGGACCGGAAGCCAGAUCGCCUCCUUCAAUGUCUGGCCAGUGUAAGGGCAAGAUGGGCCACAAUCACCAUGUGCUUCUUGCCCAAGAGGGAACAUUCUGGACUUCCAGGAUUACUAGGCUAUUUAUGCAGGUUUUACUGUAUGUUUGAAAUUUCACUUUCCACGGGAAUUUAAUGUAGGGAUGUAGGACUGUGGGACUAUUAACACCUCUAAGGGAGGGUGAGGUGGGGUCAUAUCCCCCCAGUGGCACCCGCAGUGGGCACACCUCUCUUGAGGGGACAUGUGAACAAUUUGCCCCAGGUGUGGGUCCAUCCUCAGCUGGUGCUGGGGAUGCCCCGGCCACUCCUGCUCUCACAGAUCUCCCCACUCCUCGCCCCACCAUGGUGUUCCAGGUCCCUUUGAUACAGAGGACACUAGCUGGACCUCUUCCAGGCCCCAUCCAAAGGCUCAGCCCGAGGGGCUAGCAGCGAACACAGGAGCCCACCUAUGGGGCUCUCUUAGGGAUAAGUGGGCUGCACACCCACUUCCCGGUACUCACAACCCCUCCCCCAGCACACAGAAGGGAAACCCCUUCCUUGUACGUGCUCAGCAGGUCCGGGAUGGGGACAACUCCCCAGCCUUCAAACCUGAAAUGCCCCCUUUGGUCUGGAAAACAGCUAAGACUCAAUUAGCACCUCUCCAGAGCACCCACAUACCCUGCACCUGCUAUUGCCCUGCACCAGCCUCUAGAAAAGAAAAGGUCUACAAUCUCUGGGAAAUUCUGCCCCAAACCAUUGCUUAUCUCAUUUAAUUGUCACAACUCCUUGCAUAAGUUCCAUUAAGAGCAUUUUUCCAGGAUCCCUGGGUGGCACAGUGGUUUGGCACCUGCCUUUGGCCCAGGGCACGAUCCUGGAGACCCAGGAUCGAAUCCCACGUCGGGCUCCCGGUGCAUGGAGCCUGCUUCUCCC